CGUUUUCCCUUCUUUUUCGACACUGUGUGCCGACUCUUCAUCCUCGCCGAAACCUCUCGUGCAUUAACCGCACGAGCGGUUCCCUUCUCUCCCGACCUCUUCUCUUCCUCCUCUCGUCACUGCCUUAGCUAUAGCCGACGGUGCUCUUUUCCCUCUUGCGCCGAGUGGCCGACUCCUUGUGCUCACGAGACACUGCCGGUCAAUGGAAAACAGCGCCGUCGCCGUGCCCUAGCCGGCCGAUGCCAUCUCCUUCCUCUUCUCCUUUGCCGAUGCCGGCGACCCAAUCUCUGCCUUAGUUGAGAGCCACCGUCGACCACCCGGAGCCCUAGUCCUUGCCGUGGAGUUCCUAGCGCCGGCUGUUACUUUUUGUGCCCUAACCCGACGCCAGCCACUUGAGAAGCGCCGGCCACCCCGUUUCCGGCACCCGCGUACCACUAUUGGUUUCACUGUGCCCUAGCCGACACUUGCUCCCGAGCCACUCCGACCACCACCGACUGUUGAUUGAGCAGCACUGCUGCAAAUCCUUUCCGGUACCUCUAUCCUUCCGAGCAGUGCAGAGCUUGGAUAUUCUUUUCUGUUAUUGAUCAAUCCUUCCUUGUGGUGGAUCAACAAACACAACUAUGAGUUAGUGAACGGUCUGAAGUUGCUGGAUUUCGGUCUUUCCGUUGUGAAUCGGGUCCGUUGCCAUCACAGACGACUGAAGGAGAGUUAGAGGACUUUGAUUCGAGACGAGCAUCUCGACGCCUGAGUUGGACCAUUU